GACGUAGGGCGCGAGCGUUGUCCGGAUUUAUUGGGCGUAAAGAGCUCGUAGGCGGCUCAUUGCGUCAACCGUGAAAACCAGCAGCUCAACUGUUGGCUUGCGGUUGAUACGGGUGGGCUGGAGUUCGGUAGGGGAGACUGGAAUUCCUGGUGUAGCGGUGAAAUGCGCAGAUAUCAGGAGGAACACCGGUGGCGAAGGCAGCUCGCUGGGACGUUACUGACGCUGAGACGCGAAAGCGUGGGGAGCAAACAGG
rnacentral:rRNA from 1 species